UGAUGAAUAAGACCGAAUUUCUUGUAAUUUUCUGGAGUGUGGAUGGACAGACAAAAAAAAAAUGUUUUUGUUUUUGUUUUCAUAUUUUAAUUCUUGACCAUCAGGGAGAACUUGGGCUGCCAGGGGACAGGGGACCAUCUGGAAUCAAAGGCAUGGAGGGGGCUACAGGUGACCAGGGCAGGAAAGGCGAUCCAGGACCUAAAGGACAACAAGGAGAAUCUGGAGAUCUGGGGAUGGUUGGUCUGCAGGGCUUCCCAGGACCAAAGGUAAGAGACUGACGAUGAGUAACAUUUAAAACAUCACAGAAGAGGAGAACUUACAGGACCUACAUUUCUGUCAAACAGGGGCCAAACGGUGAUUUG
rnacentral:lncRNA from 1 species